rnacentral:SRP_RNA from 2 species
GCCGGGCGCGGUGGCGGGUGCCUGUAGUCCCAGCUACUCUGGAGGCUGAGGCAGGAGAAUCGCUUGAACCCGGGAGGCGGAGUUUGCAGUGAGCCGAGAUCGCGCCACUGCACUCCAGCCUGGGCGAUAGAGCGAGACUCUGUCUCAA